UACGGAGGGUGCAAGCGUUAUCCGGAUUCACUGGGUUUAAAGGGUGCGUAGGAGGGCAGGUAAGUCAGUGGUGAAAUCUCCAAGCUUAACUUGGAACUGCCGUUGAUACUAUCUGUCUUGAAUAUUGUGGAGGUGAGCGGAAUAUGUCAUGUAGCGGUGAAAUGCUUAGAUAUGACAUAGAACACCAAAUUGCGAAGGCAGCUCACUACUCAAUCAUUGACUCUGAGGCACGAAAGCGUGGGGAUCAAACAGG
rnacentral:rRNA from 1 species